rfam:Dracunculus medinensis genome assembly, scaffold: DME_scaffold0000036
UCACGAUUGUGAAUGUCUAGCGCGGUAACGCAAACGAACUCGGAAACGCUGAAUAGAGCUCGAGCCAGAGUUCUCUUUUCUGGUUAAGAAAUGGACUCCCUGGAAACGGUUCAGCCGGCGAUAGGGACGUUAUUUUCGUAAAGCACCGCGGUUCGUGUGGUGUCUCGUGCGCUCUUAUUUGGCCCAUGAAAAUCCGAGGGAGGCUAUUUGAAUUUCGUGCCGGAUCGUACCGAUAUCCGCAGCAGGUCUCCAAGGUGAACAGCCUCUAGUCGAUAGAAUAAUGUAGGUAAGGGAAGUCGGCAAAUUAGAUCCGUAACUUCGGGAAAAGGAUUGGCUCUAAGAACUGAGUCGGACGGGCUGUUACGUGAAGUAUGCUAUAAUUGAAUCGAAGCAGUGCAAAACUAUUUAUAGUGUAGUGGGUGGUAUUUUUUUUUCUUUGUUUUACGAAAUCAUUUUUUGAUUUCUGUGAAAUUUUUAGAAAAAAAAUUUACUCACUCUUAUAAAUGGUCAAGUUCGGCUAGUGUUUCAAUUGUCGUACGGAGCGUUAUAGCUGUGCGUCGCACUCAUAUAUACAUAUAUCUCUAACUAUCUUUUAGGAUAUGUGAAUGAGUGUAUGUGUAUGAGUGUAUUUUUGUUAAUAGGCGCUUCGUCCGUCGCUAAACAGUCGACUUAGAACUGGCACGGACUCGGGGAAUCCGACUGUCUAAUUAAAACAGAGGAGACAGACGGUCCUUGUGGACGUUGACUGUCUCUGAUUUCUGCCCAGUGCUCUGAAUGUAAAAGUGAAGAAAUUCAACGAAGCGCGGGUAAACGGCGGGAGUAACUAUGACUCUCUUAAGGUAGCCAAAUGCCUCGUCAUCUAACUAGUGACGCGCAUGAAUGGAUUAACGAGAUUCCCACUGUCCCUAUCUACUAUCUAGCGAAACCACAGCCAAGGGAACGGGCUUGGCGAACACAGCGGGGAAAGAAGACCCUGUUGAGCUUGACUCUAGUCUGACUCUGUGAAGAGUCAUGAGAGGUGUAGCAUAAGUGGGAGGUUAUGAAAAAAAAUUUUUUUUAUAGCCGCCGGUGAAAUACCACUACUUUCAUCGAUUCUUUACUUAUUCGGUAAGACGAGAAUUGAGCUGUAUUCAUCGGCUCUUAUUUCUUGCAUUCAAGUACUUAGACACUUGGUGUUGGUACGACUCGCGCCGAAGACAGUGUCAGGCGGGGAGUUUGACUGGGGCGGUACAUCUGUCAAAACGUAACGCAGGUGUCCUAAGGCUAGCUCAGAGAGGACGGAAACCUCUCGUAGAGUAAAAGGGCAAAAGCUCGCUUGAUCUUGAUUUCCAGUACGAAUACAGACCGCGAAAGCGUGGCCUAUCGAUCCUUUUGAAUUAGAAAAUCUCUAGCAAGAGGUGUCAGAAAAGUUACCACAGGGAUAACUGGCUUGUGGCAGCCAAGCGUCCAUAGCGACGUUGCUUUUUGAUCCUUCGAUGUCGGCUCUUCCUAUCAUUGUGAAGCAGAAUUCACCAAGCGUUGGAUUGUUCACCCACCAAUAGGGAACGUGAGCUGGGUUUAGACCGUCGUGAGACAGGUUAGUUUUACCCUACUGUGAUAUGUUGUUGCGAUAGUAAUCCUGCUUAGUACGAGAGGAACCGCAGGUUCAGACAUUUGGUUUAUGUUCUUGGCCGAUCGGCCAAUGGUGCGAUGCUACCAUCUGAGGGAUUAUGACUGAAUGCCUCUAAGUCAGAAUCCCGUCUAGACAUGGCAACGAUAAUUUUGCUCCUCGAUGUCGAGAGGCAAAUCUAUAUAGAUAUGUUUAUUGUGCAUAUCUAUAAUAUUAGCCCCAUUAGAUGGUAUUGCUAUACGUGUUGAAUAAAUUGCAUGUAUAGUUGCCAAAGCUGGUUUCAAAAAAAAAUCCGCUACCAAUGUCGGGGCGCAAAAUCACUUGUAGACGACAUGAUUACUGGUCAAGGUGUUGUAAUCAGUAGAGCAGCCUCCAUACUGCGAUCUGUUGAGACUCAUCCUUUGAUUGGACGAUUUGU